GACGAACGCUGGCGGCGUGCUUAACACAUGCAAGUCGAACGGAAAGGCCCUGCUUUUGUGGGGUGCUCGAGUGGCGAACGGGUGAGUAACACGUGAGUAACCUGCCCUUGACUUUGGGAUAACUUCAGGAAACUGGGGCUAAUACCGGAUAGGAGCUCCUGCUGCAUGGUGGGGGUUGGAAAGUUUCGGCGGUUGGGGAUGGACUCGCGGCUUAUCAGCUUGUUGGUGGGGUAGUGGCUUACCAAGGCUUUGACGGGUAGCCGGCCUGAGAGGGUGACCGGCCACAAUGGGACUGAGAUACGGACCAGACUCCAACGGGGGGCAGCAGUGGGGAAUAUUGCACAAUGGGCGGAAGCCUGAUGCAGCAACGCCGCGUGCGGGAUGACGGCCUUCGGGUUGUAAACCGCUUUCGCCUGUGACGAAGCGUGAGUGACGGUAAUGGGUAAAGAAGCACCGGCUAACUACGUG
rnacentral:rRNA from 1 species